GGAAUGUGUGCCAGAGUGUUCAGGAGGGAUUAGUUGCGCUGAAGUAUUGUCCCUCUGCCAAGAACCUAGCUGAUGGGUUCACGAAGCCACUCACCUUCCAAAGACAUGGGGAGUUUUGUGAAGGUCUGGGUUUGGGACGACCAAGGGUCGAUUCUCCCCUCAGGCGCGAGACAAGAGGGGGUGUUGGGUGUAGUGAAGGGUUAACCUUCUGUGUCUCGAGGCUGAGAGGAGGCGCUUACAAGGGAAGUAAGCCAGGACGUGACGAAAGCAGCUUGGAAUGCUGUGAGCUGAGUGAAAAGUGAAAGCAGCUUUGUUACGCAGCUGCAAGCUGAGAGAGAAGGACGCAGAGAAAGAUGCAGCUUGAAUCAGAUGGUGUUUAUGGAUUGUAAAUAUGCUACUUUUGAGCAAAUAAAGUGCUACUAGGAAAGAAGAAACGUGUGGGACUUGUUUUACUGCCCUUUCAACACGGACGCUGUGCAAUUCUGCUAAUUGCUUUACGACCUGCAGAGGCUCGCAGGGGGAAGUGUGCUGGACGCCAAGAAUAAAGCAAUAAAUCUACCUAACA